GAUGAACGCUGGCGGCGCGCCUAACACAUGCAAGUCGAACGAUUAAAGCACCUUCGGGUGUGUAUAAAGUGGCGAACGGCUGAGUAACACGUGGGCAACCUGCCCCUUUCAUUGGGAUAGCCACGGGAAACCGUGGAUAAUACCGAAUACUUCGAGACUUCCGCAUGGAAGACUCGAGAAAGCUCCGGCGGAGAGGGAUGGGCCCGCGGCCUGUUAGCUUGUUGGUGGGGUAACGGCCUACCAAGGCAAUGAUGGGUAGCUGGGUUGAGAGACCGACCAGCCGGAUUGGGGAGGAGACGCGGCCGAGACCCCGACGGGGGGCAGCAGUGGGGAAGCUGGCACAAUGGGCGAAGGGCGAAGGCAGCGGCGCCGCGGGGGGAGUGAAGGCCUUCGGGUUGUAAACCGCUUUCAGCAGGGACGAGGCGAAAGUGACGGUACCUGCAAAAAAAGCCCCGGAAAACUACG
rnacentral:rRNA from 1 species